UAUUUCAAAAACAGGAGCUGAUUAAUUUUUUAUGACUUUGGAUUUGAGUUCAAAACAUCGAAACCCUUCAGAAAAGUAUAUUUUGGUUACUGCAAGUCACGUUGUCUUCGUUAAAUUUCAUACAAAAGUACUAGUUUUCAACUUUUUUCAACUUAAAUAGCCAUUUUUCACUUUAGUGGGCGGGGCAGUGGGCGGAAAUUACUGGUGUUGAUGUAUCUUCAUAUUUCCUAUCAUUCCUGAAAAUUUCAUCAAAAACGGUCCAGUAGUUUAGAUUUUACGGAGUUUUUUCCACUCUCCCAUACAAGGUUCCCCACUGUGCGCCGCCAAGCAUAACAACUAUAAUCAACCGUCUAUCGUUCCUGACAACAAAUUGAUCUCCGCCGCCGACAUAAGACUUAUCACCGCCACUACCAGUUCCCAGAUAGAUCCUAUGUCAGCUAAAUCAUUUCCGAUUUACGAAUCAUAAAGUAAACCGAAACAUUUGCCCAACGUUAAAUUAAAAAAAAAAAAAAAAAACAAAAAACAAGACAAAACAAAAAAAAAAAAUUAUUAUAAAUUUUGAAUAUUGAAUUAAUUUCCUGAAUUAAUAUUUAAGUUCAGUCAUACAAAUUUUUUUUAUAAAAAAAAUAAUAGAUUUAAUAUUUUUUUUUUAUACAUAAGUCAAAACGAGAGGGUUCUCGUUUAAUAAAGUAAGGGGGCACUGUGACGAAGCGUCACAACUUAGUUUUUCAUUUUCAACAAACGAAUGAAAAUUGUAUAAAUAAUUAUACACAAUUCGCGUAUCAGCAAUGCCUACACAGGGUAGGCCAAGUGACGUAGCUGCACCACCAGAAACACAAAAACAAAAAAAACAAAACAAAGAAACAAAGACAGUACGAGUUGUCGUACGCGACAAUCGUCAUCCUCAUCCUACAUAUAAAAAAUGAAUUUAAGUUUUCAUGAAAUUUUAACGUUUAACUGUGUUACACUUCACAGUGAGUUUCAUCCGCCGAUAUCAUAUGAGGAAGCAAAAAUUAUCACAAAAGGGUCGAUCUUGCGCAUCUCUGAUAUCAAGUACCUAUUCAUUUAGAGUAUAGACACAGAGGCAAGUAGACCCGGAAAAGACUUGGUAAUUUAACUGUCCUUUCUUGAAUUUUUUGGUCCUAAAUAGUAAAUAAGUAGCUAGUUGUAUUAGGGAAUCAGAAAUCAACACAGGUAGUUUACGAUAGAAAUUAGAACAGGAAAUUAUUAUUGUUAUUAUUAUUGUUAUUAUUAUUGUUAUUAUUAUUAUUAUUAUACUAACAAAUUAUACCGGAAUUAUCUCCACAUUUUGGGGACAUAAGGGUUUCUAUUGGGAUUCCCACAGACUACUCCAUCGAGCUUCUCUUUGGACAAAGGUUCUCCUAGUGAGUUCCGACCAGAAUCAUCUCCACAUUUUGGGGACAUAAGGGUUUCCAUUGGGAUUCCCACAGAUUACUCCAUCGAGCUUCUCUUUGGACAAAGGUUCUCCUAGUGAGUUCUGACCGGAAUUAUCUCCACAUUUUGGGGACAUAAAGGUUUCCAUUGGGACUCCCACAGACUACUCCUUCGAGCUUCUCGUUGGACAUAGGUUCUCCUGCCGAGUUACGACCAGACUUCUCUCCGUAUUGUGGGGACAUAGGAUUCCAUUUGGAUUCCAAAGACUUCUCCUUUGAGUUUCCUAGCUCAUUGGACAUAGGUUCUCCUAGCGAGUUCCGUCCAGAAUCCUCUCCAGGUUGUGUACUGGGGACAUAAGGGUUUCCAUUAGGGUCCCAUAGACUACUCCUUCGAGCAUCUCGUUGGACAUAGGUUCUCCUGCCGAGUUCCGACCAGACUUUUCUCCGUAUUGUGGGGACAUAGGAUUCCAUUUGGAUUCCAAAGACUUCUCCUUUGAGUUUCCUAGCUCAGUGGACAUAGGUUCUCCUAGCGAAUUCCGUCCAGAAUCCUCUCCAGGUUGUGUACUGGGGACAUAAGGGUUUCCAUUAGGAUCCCAUAGACUACUCCUUCGAGCUUCUCGUUGGACAUAGGUUCUCCUGCCGAGUUCCGACCAGACUUUUCUCCGUAAUGUGGGGACAUAGGAUUCCAUUCGGAUUCCAUAGACUUAUCCUUUGAGUUUCUUAGCUCGUUGGACAUAGGUUCUCAGUGUGAGUUCCGACCAGAUUUCUCUCCUGAUUGUGUACCGGGGACACCAAAAUAUAUGAAGUAACUUGUUAUAAAUAAAGAUUAAGACAUUGUAUAUAUAUAAUAAGCUUGAAGUGAAAAAUAAAUAAAACCGAUAUAAAUUAAGGAUUAAAAGGCUGUUUCCUUGAGUUUGGAACUUUCAAAAACCCAAGUUUUGUUGCUUCUUUGGGAAGAAUCCUGGAACUCCCCUGAGCUUACCUCAGCAUAAGCAAAAAAAGCAUCACAAUACAUAGUGGACAUUCUAAAAAAACAGCUUUAGCUUUACAUUGUAUAGAUGAAGAACAUAGGCCAGAUUUUAAUAACGUAGACAUUUUACAAACAGAGAAACACUAUAGUAAAAGAAUGUUGCUAGAAAUGUUACAUAUUUUAGAUACAGAUAAUACUGUUAAUAGGAGAUCAGAUUGUGAGGGACUUAGCAAUAUUUAUAGUCAGUUUGUCCAAAGAAAUAUGUUAUAUUAGAUUUUAUCAACAUUUUUAACUUGAAUUUUUAGAUAGGAUUUGUUUUUGUUUUCUUGUAAAAUUUUUGAAUUUCUUAUCAAAUAGAAAUUUUUAAUUUGAUUGUUUUGAAAUUUUAAUAAUGUGAAACGUCUUUUUCAAGAUAUUCUUUUAUUGAAUUUUAAAAUAUCAUUGAUACAAAAAGCUAAACAGUUUUUGACAAACCACUUUUGUUAAACCUUAAGAGGUUAAAAAGUUUUUAAUAUUAGUCCUGAAGAAGGGUAUAUCCAUACCCGAAACGUCGACUGAUAGAAAAAAGAACUAACUCAAGAAAAGACCUAUAGCCCACAAACAAUAGUAUAAUUUAUGAAACUUCUAAUCCACUCAACUGUUUUGCAGAUGAUAGUACCCUCAGUUUUUCAUAUUCGUUACCUGAUUCUCGCCCAAGUUCUUCGGAAGUGGAUCUUGAACGGCUAAAUAUGAUAAACUCAUUAAAUUCUGAUCUUAAUAGCAUUGUCCAAUGGGGAAUAAGAAAUCGCGUAGAAUUUAAUGCUUCCAAAACUCAAUGCUGCUUACUAUCAUUAAAGCGGAACAUGUCUCCCAUGCCACUAUCCAUGAGUGGUACUUGCAUCGAAGAAACCGAAAAGCUUUCCAUCCUCGGUAUGUGCAUUACAAACCACCUCCUGUGGAAUGAACACAUAUUUGACACCGCUAAAUCCGCUGCGAAAUGUUUAGGUUUCCUCCGAAGAUGCAAGAAAUUUUUCUCCCCGUCUGAUCUAGCAAUUAUUUAUAAGGCGUACAUUCGUCCAAAGCUUGAAUAUAACUCCCACAUCUGGGCAGGUGCUCCAAUAACCUCGUUGAGUUUCUUGGAUAGAAUACAAAACAGAGCUAUAAAAAUGAUAGGUGAUAGAUCAAUAACUGAUACAAUUACGUCUCUCGAGCACCGUCGUAACGUCUCAUGUCUCACGUUGUUCUAUCGUUAUUUUUAUAAGCAGUGCUCCGAUGAAAUAGCUAGUUGCAUUCCUCCCCUGAAACAAUUCAACCGUAAUACUCGCGCUUCAAGGAAUGCUCAUCAGUUUACCCUAGAGUCCAACUUCGGACGUACCGUCAAAUACAGAGAUUCUUUCUUCAGCCGCACUACACGAAUGUGGAACGCGUUACCCGCCUCUGUUUUCCCAUCCCAUUUCAAAACUCAGAACUUCAAAACUAAUGUUCAUCGGUAUCUCCUUUCAAACCCCUCCCUAUUUUCCUAAUGCUCGUACUGUGUUCACCAUAUUAAGGGUACAUUAAUCCCUUUAGUGCGCGCUUAUUAUAAAAAAAAAAAAAAAACUUAUAUAGGGUGUCCCAAAAGUAAUGGAUCAAACGAAAUAUGCUGAUUGGGGAACUUAAGGGCUCUCAGAAUUUGGAACCUUGUUCCUCCCAAAUCCUUACGGGUUUCAAUUUAAUGCAAUUCUUGUGAAAUUUCGAAAAAUCCCUACUUGACAACAGUAUUUUGCUUCCUGCGCCCAUUAUUGAUAUUUGUUUUUUUUUUUUUAAUUCUUUUACGAAAACAUUGCCAAUAAUUAGGAACAAUUAAUUAAUCAAAAUAUUUUUUAUUCCAUACGCCAUAUUUCGCUGCAAAUUAACUAACAGUUUCAAGUUUUAUAAAAAAUCUAUUUCUAACUUUUAUUUGCGACCAACACCGCAAACAAAAUUUUACGCUGUGAAAAUGGUUUAUUAUUUUAAAAAGUUGCCCUGUUAUUGUAGUUUUCAAAAAAGUAUAAAAGUUUCCUAAGUUGCAGUUAGAUCACAAAAUAUUACAAUUUGAAUUCAACAAAACAAGGUUUUUCAGAAAAAAAAAACAACCAACUGAAUAAAUGAUCAAUACAUGAUCAAAAAAGUCAUGAUCUAAAAAAUGUUGUUUAGUUAUUGUAACAAAAAGAAAAAGAACAAUGCGUAAAACAUGGAACCAUCCCUCAAAAUUUUAUUGAAGUCGUUGAAUCUCUCUCUGUGAAAACAAAACUAAUAUAAGAGAAAAUACUUCCAAAAUGUCUGGAGGACCUCAAAAUUUCAUCGAAAUCUUUAAAGUUUAAAAAAAAUUCUAUGGUAAAAAAGUGGGCAUGGCAGUGGGCGGAUUUUUCCAAAAAUACUUACAAAACUUUUAACUCCCUUAGAUAAACAAACCCUUAAAAUGUCAUCGAAAUCGUUAGAGACGUUUCCGAAAAAAAACUUAAAUGUUAAAAAAGUGGGCUUGGCAGUGGGCAGAUUUUUCCAAAAAAAAACUUCCAAAACUUUUUACUUUCUUGGAUGAACAAACCCUGAAAAUUUCAUCGAAAUCAUUAGAGCCGUUUCCGAAAAAACUUAUAUGUUAAAAAAGUGGGCGUGGCAGUGGGCGGAUUUUUCAAAAAAAAAACUUCCAAAACUUUUUACUCGCUUAUAUAAACAAACCCUGAAACCCUCGUUGGAGCCGUUCCCGAAAAAACUUAUAUGUUAAAAAAGUGGGCGUGGCAGUGGGUGGAUUUUUCCAAAAAUACUUCCAAAACUUUUUACUCGCUUAGAUGAACAAACCCUGAAAAUUUCAUCGAAAUCGUUAGAGCCGUUUCCGAGAUCCCAAUUUUAUAUAUAUUUAUAUAUAUACAGUGACGGACAAAACAAUAAGACCACCUCUAUCACUUUGAAAACAUGCUCUUUAUCUCUCAUUCCAAUGAAAUAAAACGGCUCCUUUUACUAUAUUCUGCUUUAAAUAACGAAACUAUUAUGAAAUAAAAGAAAAAGAACAUGCACAGAUAGUUUGAUGCAAAAAAAAAAAAAUAUAAACUAAAAAGAACCCUCAAAUCGUGUGGACAAAACAA